rnacentral:rRNA from 1 species
UAACGCGAAGAACCUUACCUGGGCUUGACAUGUGCCUGACCCCCCUGGAAACAGGGGUUCCCUUCGGGGCAGGUUCACAGGUGGUGCAUGGCUGUCGUCAGCUCGUGUCGUGAGAUGUUGGGUUAAGUCCCGCAACGAGCGCAACCCCCGUCGCAUGUUGCCAGCAUUUAGUUGGGGACUCAUGCGAGACUGCCGGUGACAAACCGGAGGAAGGUGGGGAUGACGUCAAGUCAUCAUGCCCCUUAUGUCCAGGGCUACACACGUGCUACAUUGGCGCGUACAGAGGGCUGCGAUACCGCGAGGUGGAGCGAAUCCCUUAAAGCGCGUCUCGGUUCGGAUUGCAGGCUGAAACCCGCCUGCAUGAAGGCGGAGUUGCUAGUAAUCGCGGAUCAGCACUGCCGCGGUGAAUACGUUCCCGGGUCUUGUACAC